rnacentral:rRNA from 1 species
GUAUUAGUUAUGUUCUUGAAACCCAAAGGAUUUGGCGGUAUUUUAGUCCUUUCAGAGGAGCCUGUCCUAUAAUCGACAUUCCACGAUAUUUACUACUUAUUUUUGUAUUCAGUUUGUAUACCUCCGUCAUAAGGGUAUCUUUUUAGAGUUAAUUCCCCCAUUUAUUAAAUGUAAAAAUGUCAGGUCAAGGUGCAGCUUAUAUAUAAGUUGAGAUGGGCUACAAUAAUUUUAUUUAUACAGAUUUCUUUUAUUUAUUUUUGGAUUGAAGGUGGAUUUGAAAGUAAAAUGAUUUAUUUAUUUAUUUGGAAUCUUGGCUCUAAGAUAUGCACACAUCGCCCG